AACGAACGCUGGCGGCAUGCCUAACACAUGCAAGUCGAACGAGGCCUUCGGGUCUAGUGGCGCACGGGUGCGUAACGCGUGGGAACCUGCCCUUAGGUUCGGAAUAACUCCCCGAAAGGGGUGCUAAUACCGGAUAAUGUCUUCGGACCAAAGAUUUAUCGCCUUUGGAUGGGCCCGCGUUGGAUUAGCUAGUUGGUAGGGUAAAAGCCUACCAAGGCGACGAUCCAUAGCUGGUCUGAGAGGAUGAUCAGCCACACUGGGACUGAGACACGGCCCAGACUCCUACGGGAGGCAGCAGUGGCGAAUAUUGGACAAUGGGCGAAAGCCUGAUCCAGCAAUGCCGCGUGAGUGAUGAAGGCCUUAGGGUUGUAAAGCUCUUUUACCCGGGAUGAUAAUGACAGUACCGGGAGAAUAAGCUCCGGCUAACUCCGUG
rnacentral:rRNA from 1 species